rfam:Clostridium spiroforme DSM 1552 Scfld_02_5 genomic scaffold, whole genome shotgun sequence.
AAUCUGUUUCAGGGCGAGGUGUAAUUCCUCACUGGCGGUGAAAAGUUUUAGCUGUAAGUCCGCGAGCUUGAUAUUUUCAAAGCAGAAUGGGUUAGAAUCCCAUACCAACGGUAUAGUCCGGAUGAAAGAAACAAAAU